GGGAAAUGUGUCCCCACGUCGUACAGCCCAUUAGCUGCAUGGGAACGGGUUAGGUCGCGCCCCCCAUAGGAGGACUAUAUGGGCGUAGGGGUAUUCAGCACACCCCUAGGCUAGAUACC